GGCCGCCUAGGCGGCUCAGUCAUUAAGCUCUGCCUUGGGCUCAGGUCAUGGUCUCAGCGUCCUGGGAUGGAGCCCUACAUCAGGCUUUCUGCU